UAUACAUUUAAUUUAGAAUCAUUGAUAGACACAUUGUAUAUUUUAUCCAUUCAUCUUGAGUUUACAAAUGUUUACACAAGGUAACAAGUAUUUCCAUGUUGUUAAGUUUCAAGUGCAACAAGGCAAGUCACAAUUAAGGGUUGGAUGAUCACCUUUAAGGGCUCUGAGGGCAUCACACCAACAUUUGCAAUUGGACUUGCUGCUAUGUUUGCAACCUACUACAUUUUCAGCCUUCAGUAUCAAGAUGAGACAGCCUGCCCUCUGGAAUUCAUUCAGAGGCACUUCAUUGAUAUAAAUCCCAACAAAUGCCAAAAUCAUCAGACAAGAUUGUCUCUAAGAAGAAAGGUGUGAUCGUCCAGAAGUCGUCUUCUGCAGUUAAAUACACACGUGGCCAUGCUACUGAAGAAUCUCCUUGACUUUUUAAUGGAACUUCAUAUAGAUCGUGGCAGCACUGGAAUAAUGCUGCAGAGAGGAACAGCGGCUACUAAAGUAAUGAUCGUCUCUUCUG